AAUAAGUGUAGUUUUACCCUAUUCACGUUUAAUAUUUAAUCGUCCAUUUUAUUUGAAAAUUUUUUAUAAUUAUUAUUUUUAUUGAUAUUAGAUGAUAAAACAUGAAUAGUAUUUUAUAUGUGACUAAAUAUUUUUAAAUUUUUUACAAAUUUUUCAAAUAAGACGGACGGUUAAAUGUUGGGUACGAAUAUUCACGGCUGCACUUAUU
rfam:Oryza sativa (indica cultivar-group) chromosome 6, whole genome shotgun sequence.